rnacentral:lncRNA from 1 species
GCCCUAACAACAUUUUGUGUCAACAGAACAGUACUUUGUUGCAGCAGCAGAGCCAGGAAUCUAAACUAGGAUGGUGGUAACCUCAGAAAAUUUAGUUCAUCAAAAUAAUAUAUAUUCGGACAAAAUUCUUUGAAAUCCUAAUCCAGUUAGCGAUAUAAAUAUCACCACAACAAUGAAAAACUCAAGAAUUAGCCUUGGACAAAGUUAAGAGAACUUAAUACUAUCCAAAACAAGCUAGCACUUAGUCGCAUAUCCUAGAAGCUCUGCCAAAGGUACGAUGCCCACUAAGCUGAAGAAGAAGACCCAUCCCAGCUCAAGUCCCCAGAAGCUGCACCAGGCUCGGUUUCUUCUUUGUUGACACCGACAAGACCCUCCAAGACCGAGCGUACAAGCUCAUCCACUACCCCAGCUCCGAAACUUGGUGGUAACAUCACUCUGAUUUCCGAGGCUAGAUCAAGGAGGUCUGUGAGAAGUGACUCCACCGCUUCUUCUGAUGUUUCUAGACCAACAUGCCGGAAGAAGUUCAACGUUUUUGCCUCGCCAUCUUACUGGCUGCAGGAGAUUAAGCUGUCUGAGGCUGCUGGCAAGCACUCGACUUCACUCAGGUUUUUCAAACUAGCCAUGGAGGCUGAAUGAAGUUGGAGGAGCAAGCUGAGUUGCAAGCAGCGGCGGCGGACUCAGACCAACGCCCCGUCGUGCCCUCGUCCACUUCAAGUCCGAGACUUCCUGCAUGCACCACGAACUCCACUCCUUCGUCUUCUCCCUCCACGGCUGCGUCAAGCUCCAAGCUCCUCUGCUACAUCAUCUCCGUCCUGUGGCUAGGAAUUGGUAGAUCUCGCCGGAGCUCUAGUGAUCUUGUGGAUCUCGAGACAGCUGCUCUUCUGAGCUCAGCCCUCCUCCUCAGCAUCCACCAACUACCUCAAGCUUCAUCAUGCUUCUCCGCCAUCCUCAACACCAUUGCACACCCAGCUGCAAAUCCAAACGACGUCGCAGACACCGGCACCGCCACAGGUCUCCCGCAUCUCCUC